CGCAGCUGGGCGUCGCCGGCCGCGCUGGGGUUUUUGCUACAAUCCAGUAGACUUGGGAAGUUUCUAAAUACUUGAAGUUGGUUAGUUCGAACUUUCAAGAAAAGGAAACAGUUAAAAACAGAGCUUGACAGGUCACCCAGGUGACCCGGUGUGUUAGGGGCAGUUUCAAAGACUGAUGUGAGGAGUAGUGGAAAGGGGUCAGUGAGUGAUACGGUCAUUGUGAAGCAUUGGCUGGACAGUUCUUUACAGCCCCCCUGCACAGCUGCAGGCUGUGAGGUAUGUGGUCAAGAAAUGGAGAUAAAGCUGUUUCUGAGUUCAAACACAGUAGGAAGGCUGCGAAAUGGCUGGCAUUGCCCGGCUGUGUUUGCAUCCUCUCUCUGCCAUUUGAGGGCAGUGGAUUCAGCAUGCAUCUUUGAAAUAUAUCCCAGCUUGUCAGAGGUAAGUGCCUGUUUUGAUGGAAGGAGAGUGGGGAAUGCAUUACGGGGGAAAUGUAGCAAAAGGCAAGCAGCUCUGAGUUCUGCAUCCUACUUUCAAUGAUAUCUCAAAGGGCUUGUGAAUCAAGGUACUGCUCUCUUGUAGACAUCUUGAAAAAUGAAAGAAUUCUAACGUAUUAUGGACUUUACCGUUUAUUUAACAACAGUUUAGAUACUUUAUGGUUCUAUUUGUUAGAUCCCCCUUUUAACUUUUUGAAAAUUUCCAACAUAUAUAACAUGGAGAGGGUAUUAGAAUAGUGUUCCAAGGACUCACAUACCCAUCACCCAGCUUCAACAACUGCCAACUGAUGUUAAGUAAAUAAGCCAGGAACAGAAAGAAAAAUAUCACAUGUUCUCACUCGUAUGUGGGAACUGAAAAAGUUGAUCAUAUGGAGUUGGAGUGUAGAAUGAUAGUUACCAGAGGCUGGGAAGUGGAGGGAGAUGAAGUGAGAUUGGUUAAAGGGCACAAAGGCACAAGUUAGAUAGAGGGAAUAAGUUCUAGUGUCAGAUAGCACAGUAGCCUAAUUCGAGUUAACAAUAAUGUAUUGUACAUUUCAAAAUAGCUAGAAGAAAGGAUUUGAAAUGUUCCCAACACAAAGAAGUGAUAAAUGUUUGAAGUAAUAGAUAUCCCAAUUAUUCUAAUUUGACCACUACAUAUUAUAUGCAUGUAUCAAAAUAUCACAUGUACCUCAUAAAUAUGUACAAUUAUUAUAUAUCAAUAAAAAUAAUAAUAACUUUUUAAAAAACAGUUACCAACUGAGAAUCUUGUUUCCUGUAAAGCCCUAGUCACUUCCCCACCUCUCACCCUGAUUAUUUUUUGGCCCAUCCCUUAUAUUAUAUUAUUUCAUAUUUUAUUGUCUAUAAAUAUUUCACUAUAUACCUCUA
rnacentral:lncRNA from 1 species